rnacentral:rRNA from 1 species
GAGGAAAAGAAAAUAACAAUGAUUUCCCUAGUAACGGCGAGUGAAGAGGAAAGAGCUCAAAGUUGGAACCUGUUUGGCUUAGCUAAACCGGAUUGUAAACUGUAGAAGUGUUUUCCUGACACGCCUGGUAAAAAAGUCCUUUGGAACAGGGCAUCAUAGAGGGUGAGAAUCCCGUGUUUGGCCAGAGCUGUUGUCUUUUGUGAUACAUUUUCAAAGAGUCAGGUUGUUUGGGAAUGCAGCCUAAAUUGGGUGGUAAAUCUCACCUAAAGCUAAAUAUUUGCGAGAGACCGAUAGCGAACAAGUACCGUGAGGGAAAGAUGAAAAGAACUUUGAAAAGAGAGUUAAACAGUAUGUGAAAUUGUUAAAAGGGAACCGUUUGGAGCCAGACUGGCUUGACUGUAAUCAAUCUAGGCUUCGGCCUGGAUGCACUUGCGGUUUAUGCCUGCCAACGACAAUUUUUUUUGAGGGAAAAAACUAUUAGGAAUGUGGCCCCUCUCGGGGGGUGUUAUAGCCUUUUAGAAAAUACCUUGAAUUGGAUUGAGGAACGCAGUGAAUGCCUUUAGGCAAGAUUGCUGGGUGCUUUCGUUAAUAAAUGCUAGAAUUUCUGCUUCGGGUGGUGUUAGUGUUUAAAGAUGGAACUCGCCUAGUAUAUU